rnacentral:rRNA from 1 species
GGGCCCGCACAAGCGGUGGAGUAUGUGGCUUAAUUCGAUGCAACGCGAAGAACCUUACCUGGCCUUGACAUGCUAGUAGUAGAACCCAGAAACGGGGACGAGGUAGCAAUACCAGCUAGCACAGGUGCUGCA